AUCUACGGCAAUACCACCCUGAAAGCGCCCGAUCUCGUCUGAUCUUGGAAGCUAAGCAGGGUUGGGCCUCGUUAGUACUUGGAUGGGAGAAUUUGUGUGGAUUUAGGGAUUUGGAUG
rnacentral:rRNA from 1 species